AUUGAACGCUGGCGGCAUGCUUUACACAUGCAAGUCGAACGGCAGCGCGGGCUUCGGCCUGGCGGCGAGUGGCGAACGGGUGAGUAAUGCAUCGGAACGUGCCCAGUAGUGGGGGAUAGCCCGGCGAAAGCCGGAUUAAUACCGCAUACGACCUGAGGGUGAAAGCGGGGGACCGAAAGGCCUCGCGCUAUUGGAGCGGCCGAUGUCGGAAUAGCUAGUUGGUGGGGUAAAGGCUUACCAAGGCGACGAUCCGUAGCUGGUCUGAGAGGACGACCAGCCACACUGGGACUGAGACACGGCCCAGACUCCUACGGGAGGCAGCAGUGGGGAAUUUUGGACAAUGGGGGCAACCCUGAUCCAGCCAUGCCGCGUGCGGGAAGAAGGCCUUCGGGUUGUAAACCGCUUUUGUUCGGGAAGAAAUCCUCUGGGCUAAUACCCCGGGGGGAUGACGGUACCGGAAGAAUAAGCACCGGCUAACUACGUG
rnacentral:rRNA from 1 species